rnacentral:rRNA from 1 species
UACGGAGAGGGCAAGCGUUGUUCGGAUUUAUUGGGCGUAAAGCGCGCGUAGGUGGCAUGGUAAGUCGGAUGUUAAAGACCCACGGCUCACCCGGGGGAAUGCGUCCGAUACUGCCGUGCUAGAGUGCGGGAGAGGAAAGUGGAAUUCCUGGUGUAGCGGUGAAAUGCGUAGAUAUCAGGAGGAACACCGGUGGCGAAGGCGGCUUUCUGGCCCGUAACUGACACUGAGGCGCGAAAGCGUGGGGAGCGAACGGGAUUAGAUACCCCCGUAGUCC